UACGGGGGGGGCAAGCGUUGUUCGGAAUUACUGGGCGUAAAGGGCUCGUAGGCGGCCAACUAAGUCAGACGUGAAAUCCCUCGGCUUAACCGGGGAACUGCGUCUGAUACUGGAUGGCUUGAGGUUGGGAGAGGGAUGCGGAAUUCCAGGUGUAGCGGUGAAAUGCGUAGAUAUCAGGAGGAACACCGGUGGCGAAGGCGGGUCUCUGGGCCGAUACUGACGCUGAGGAACGAAAGCGUGGGGAGCGAACAGG
rnacentral:rRNA from 1 species